UUAUAAUUUAUUUGAUAUUCGUUUCUACAUGGAUAACCGUGCUAAUUGUAGGGCUAAUACAUGUUCGAGACCUAUUUUUAUAGGUGGCGUUUAUUAGACCUUAAACCAUCCCGCUUCGGCGGUAUAUCGGUGAUUCAUAAUAAAUACGCGAAUCGCAUUGCUUUAUGCUGGCGAUGUAUCAUUCAAGUUUCUGACCUAUCAGCUUUGGACGGUAGGGUAUUGGCCUACCGGGGCAGCGACGGGUAACGGGGAAUUAGGGUUCGAUUCCGGAGAGGGAGCCUGAGAAAUGGCUACCACAUCUAAGGAAGGCAGCAGGCGCGUAAAUUACCCAAUCCUAACACAGGGAGGUAGUGACAAGAAAUAACAAUACGAGGCUUAAAGUCUUGUAAUUGGAAUGACGGAAAUUUAAGCUCUUUCCGGAGUAUCAAUUGGAGGGCAAGUCUGGUGCCAGCAGCCGCGGUAAUUCCAGCUCCAAUAGCGUAUAUUAAACUUGUUGCAGUUAAAAAGCUCGUAGUUGAAUUUCUGCUGCAUCAUUUAUAUUCCUUAAUCGGUUUAUUCAUGUUGUGGCUUUUUG
rnacentral:rRNA from 1 species